rnacentral:rRNA from 1 species
GACGAACGCUGGCGGCGUGCUUAACACAUGCAAGUCGAACGGAAAGGCCUGCUUUCCCUUGUGGAUUGCGGGUGCUCGAGUGGCGAACGGGUGAGUAACACGUGAGUGAUCUGCCCCCAACUUGGGUAUAAGCCUGGGAAACUGGGUCUAAUUCCCGAUAGGACUGCAGGGUGGUGCCUGUGGUGGAAAACGAUUUUCUAGUGGUUGGGGAUGAGCUCGCGGCCUAUCAGCUUGUUGGUGGGGUAAUGGCCUACCAAGGCGGCGACGGGUAGCCGGCCUGAGAGGGUGGACGGCCACAUUGGGACUGAGAUACGGCCCAGACUCCUACGGGAGGCAGCAGUGGGGAAUAUUGCACAAUGGGCGGAAGCCUGAUGCAGCGACGCCGCGGGGGGGAUGACGGCCUUCGGGUGGUAAACUCCUUUCGACCGCGAGGAAGCCACCUGGUUGGAAGGGUGGUGACGGUAGUGGUAGAAGAAGCACCGGCUAACUACGUG